GAGGAAUAUUGCGCAAUGGGCGAAAGCCUGACGCAGCAACGCCGCGUGAGGGACGAAGGCCUUCGGGUCGUAAACCUCUUUUCUGGGGGAAGAGCAAGGACGGUACCUCAGGAAUAAGUCUCGGCUAACUACGUGCCAGCAGCCGCGGUAAAACGUAGGAGGCGAGCGUUAUCCGGAUUUACUGGGCGUAAAGCGUACGCAGGUGGCUUCGUUAGUCGGACAUGAAAGCUCCUGGCUUAACUGGGAGAGGCUGUUCGAUACUGCGAGGCUUGAGGUUGGGAGAGGGACGUGGAAUUCCCGGUGUAGUGGUGGAAUGCGUAGAUAUCGGGAGGAACACCAGUGGCGCAAGCGGCGUCCUGGCCCACACCUGACGCUGAGGUACGAAAGCGUGGGUAGCAAACAGGAUUAGAUACCCUGGUAGUCCACGCUGUAAACGAUGUCAACUGGGUGUCGGUAGUUUUACACUAUCGGUGCCGAAGCUAACGCGUUAAGUUGACCGCCUGGGGACUACGGCCGCAAGGCUA
rnacentral:rRNA from 1 species